UAAAAUCAGCCCAAUCAAGGAGCAAGGACCUUAGGGUUGUAUGGAUUUAUUCAAAACAAAAAUUAUGCAAAAGAAAUCUCAGAGGUGCUUUUGUUUUAUUAUGUCAUAGCUUUCAGGGGCGUCAAAUAGACGAAACUCAAAUUACCAUCAGUUGCCAUCAUAGUUACAUCUGCUUCGUCUAGUGCUGUCCUGGAAUUUCUUGGUCGUAAAAACUAUCGAGUUGUCCGCCAUGCACGUUUUAAACAAAUCAGCCGAACAUGGUUGUAUAGGAUAUGUGUCGUGUGUCCCAGGCAGUGUCAUUUCCAGCCCUUUCUUGUGGUAUGUGUUUAAUACAGGCAUAUUAGAUGUGGAGCCCUUUGCUGUGGAUAAAAUUUAUGCAGGAAAAAAAACUUCAUGAUAAUGGUGCAUUUGGAACUGACACAAGCUACUGGAUUUCUACCCCUUAAUGGCUUCCAUUAAAAUUUCAUGCAAGGGUUGAACGAAGUCCUUCCUGGAAAAGCUUCCUUCGAGAAUAAUAGUUGGAAAGUGAGUUAUCCUAAAUCAAGGUAUGGGCUUCUUCAAAGACAUAACCUCCAUUCUAUUUUGAUUUGUGUAUAGAAAUUGAAUGCUCUCUUUUUAAAGUUGUAAAAUAUUGUGCUUGAACGAUUGGUAAGUUAAUAGUUUCUACUGUUUAGCUUGUUGGUGCUUUCCUUUUCAUCUUUUUUUGCUCAUAGAACCAAAUUUUCUUCUUUAGUAUAAAAAAACUACUGCGAGAGAAUACAUAGUGAUUGCCGUACAGCCAACCCGUUUACAACAUCGAUUGCGUGACGCUUCAAAUUCAGCUUAUUUGACCAGAAUAAUGAAGAUGAGGAAUGAACUGGGCAUCAAAAUGUGGGGACAUGAGGCAUAGAGCUGUUUAUUUGUGGAAAAAAAUGGUCAGCAAAUGAAAGUUU